rnacentral:rRNA from 1 species
UACGGAGGGGGCUAGCGUUGUUCGGAAUUACUGGGCGUAAAGCGCGUGUAGGCGGCCAUGCAAGUCGGAUGUGAAAGCCCUCGGCUCAACUGAGGAAGUGCAUCCGAAACUGGCAGGCUUGAGUACUAAAGAGGGUCGCGGAAUUCCCGGUGUAGAGGUGAAAUUCGUAGAUAUCGGGAGGAACACCAGUGGCGAAGGCGGCUUACUGGUCCGGUUCUGACGCUGAGGCGCGAAAGCGUGGGGAGCAAACAGG